GUUUGCAACUCAAAGGAAUUGACGGAAACUCAAAGGAAUUGACGGAAACUCAAAGGAAUUGACGGAAACUCAAAGGAAUUGACGGAAACUCAAAGGAAUUGACAGACACUCAGGGGAAUUCACUGUUCCGAAUUAUUGGGCGUAAAGGGUGCGUAGGCGGUGCGGUAAGUCAGCUGUGAAAUCUCCGGGCUCAACCCGGAGCCUGCAUCGGAAACUGCCGUGCUGGAGUAUGGGAGAGGUGAGUGGAAUUCCCGGUGUAGCGGUGAAAUGCGUAGAUAUCGGGAAGAACACCUGUGGCGAAAGCGGCUCACUGGACCAUUACUGACGCUGAUGCACGAAAGCUAGGGGAGCAAACAGGAUUAGAUACCCUGGUAGUCCUAGCCCUAAACGAUGAUCGCUUGGUGUGACAG
rnacentral:rRNA from 1 species